rnacentral:rRNA from 1 species
AUUGAACGCUGGCGGCAGGCCUAACACAUGCAAGUCGAACGGUAACAGGAAGAGGCUUGCUUCUUUGCUGACGAGUGGCGGACGGGUGAGUAAUGUCUGGGAAACUGCCUGAUGGAGGGGGAUAACUACUGGAAACGGUAGCUAAUACCGCAUAACGUCUCAAGACCAAAGAGGGGGACCUUCGGGCCUCUUGCCAUCGGAUGUGCCCAGAUGGGAUUAGCUAGUAGGUGGGGUAACGGCUCACCUAGGCGACGAUCCCUAGCUGGUCUGAGAGGAUGACCAGCCACACUGGAACUGAGACACGGUCCAGACUCCUACGGGAGGCAGCAGUGGGGAAUAUUGCACAAUGGGCGCAAGCCUGAUGCAGCCAUGCCGCGUGUAUGAAGAAGGCCUUCGGGUUGUAAAGUACUUUCAGCGGGGAGGAAGGGAGUAAAGUUAAUACCUUUGCUCAUUGACGUUACCCGAAGAAGAAGCACCGGCUAACUACGUG